GCUGAGUUUAUUGAUCCUCUGCGGAAAAGAUGGUCAGGUUAACUUUCACGAAUAUGUUCUUAGUUGCCCUUCUGGUUUUAGCAUUGACAUCAGAAAGAGUAGUAAGCCUGAGAGAAGAAAAAGGGAAGUGGUGUCUUUAUUCAUGGAUGGAAAUAGGUUGCAAAGACGAUGCAUGUGACACAAAAUGUAAGAACGCACACGGCCAAACAGCUAAAGGACACUGCUCCAGUUCCCAUUGUGUAUGCUCAUACCUCUGUGAUACUUGAAUUCAAUAUCAUCACAUUUUUACUAUAUAUGCAUACGCAUAUAUAUUUAAAUAAAGUUCUGUAUGGAGAUUGAAUGAAUAUCUCCGGCGUUCAUAUAUAAAAUUGUCCGAAGAAUUAAUUAUUAUUA